rfam:Hordeum vulgare subsp. vulgare, WGS project CAJW01000000 data, contig: morex_contig_2550859
AAAAUACUCUCUCCGUCCGGAAUUACUUGUCGCAAAAUUGAAUAGGAAUGAAUGUAUCUAGAACUAAAAUACAUCUAGAUACAUCCAUUCCUCGGACAAGUAUUUCCGGAUGGAGGGAGUAGCUA